AAUCGCAUAAAAAAUAAAAUAUUAGUUUCG
rnacentral:tRNA from 1 species